rnacentral:rRNA from 1 species
GCGGGUAUCGACCCCUGCAUUUCCGAAGCCUACGCAUUAAUUGCUCCGCCUGGGUACUACGGUCGCAAGAUUAUAACUCAAAGGUAUUGACGGGGGCCCUGCACAAGCGGUGGAGCAUGUGGUUCAAUUCGACGCAACGCGCAGAACCUUACCCGGGCUUGACAUCCUGGGAAUCCCCGAGUAAACCGGGGAGUGCCUGCUUUGCAGGAUCCCAGUGACAGGUGCUGCAUGGCUGUCGUCAGCUCGUGUCGUGAGAUGUUGGGUUAAGUCCCGCAACGAGCGCAACCCUCGUCCUUAGUUGCCAGCAUUCAGUUGGGCACUCUAAGGAGACUGCCGGUGUUAAACCGGAGGAAGGCGAGGACGACGUCAAGUCCUCAUGGCCCUUAUGCCCGGGGCUACACACGUGCUACAAUGGCCGGUACAAUGGGCUGCGAACCUGUGAAGGGAAGCUAAUCCCAAAAAGCUGGUCUCAGUUCGGAUUGGAGUCUGCAACUCGACUCCAUGAAGGAGGAAUCGCUAGUAAUCGCGCAUCAGCACGGCGCGGUGAAUACGUUCCCGGGCAUUGUACACACCGCCCGUCACACCACGAAAGCUAUUUGGACCAGAAGUCGGCGUUCCAACCAUUCG